UUCUCUUGACAUCAACUAAACCAAUCAACAAAGAAACAAGAAACCAACAAACACAAAGGAAAGUGCGCAUGCUCCGUUUAUUGGCUUGAAAUUAAGAGACUAGCAGAUAUCCGGGUGAAUUGAAUGAGCAGGAAGGCUUAAUGCUAAGCCGUGUGUCUGCAGUCCUAACAACUGGCAACGAGAAUGUGUCUCCCUCGGGUCAGCGCUUUACUAACUUCCGAUGAGAACUUGACAGAUUUGGGCCCCAAGUGAGACAAGUGGAAACGCAACUUUGAGUAUUACAUUAUAGGCAAUGGAAUAACAGGUGCGAAACAAAAACACUGUUCCCUACUGCAUUGUACAGGACCACAUGUCCAAGACCUUACAUACCAGAAAUAGGAAGUGAAACGGAUUAUGAGGAUGCCACCCUGGCGCUCACCACAUAUUUCAAACCCAUGGUUAACAAGUUCUAUGGAAGAUACAAAUUCCGACAAUUAGAGCAAGAAUCCAAUGAAUCUAUCGACCAGUUUGUAACCAAGUUACGACAACAAGCUGAGAGGUGUCCUCUGCUGAUGUUGAUCAAAACAUUUUAAGUCAACUUAUAGAGAGGUGCAGAAGUGCCAAGGUGCGCUUGCAGGUUUUAGAAGAAGGUGGCUCACGUUACAGUAGUUAAAGCUCUACAGCUAGGUUGUACUGUAGAGUCAGUCAGUUCCAGCACAAAGAUAUGUCAGGUUCAUCAACGAUCAACUAUGCAAAUCCCAUCUCCAGAGGCAGACCAUGCACGCAUACAGAGUUGGAGUCCAGAGUCAUUUUGCUACACAGUUUAAGACAAAGAGUACGGGACAAGCAUCUGAAAGUCAAUUUUGCUGCAGUUGAUGUAGUCCGCAGCAAAUAUCCUGAGGACAGUGCUCACAACUUAUCAGAUGAAUGUGUGUUUGCCGUGGACCAAGCAACAGCAAUGGUGGAAGUGACUACUGGUAGAGUGCUAAUCGGUGUUUAGAAGGAACUAAGUCAAUAUGAUGAAGAAGACUAAUUACCACAGAAUAUCUGGAUGAAAAGAUUGCAGAAGCAUUGCAAAAUGCGAGGGACUACAACUUUGCGCUCACUCGAUCAGGUGAAGUGUUGACUGCAGAACCAAGAAAACACGACUUAUUGCCAGUACAAGGAUGGUAAUAUUGAUGUUUUGAUUACUAAUUUAUUCUGUAUCUAGACUUGUGUGAUCAGUAGCUAUAACAUUUAUAUUUACAUUUUGUGAUGUUGAAAUGAGCAAUUGUAGUGCAUAUUGCAUUUUGUGUUAUCUAAAUACCUCAAAUGCUGUUCCUUUGCUGUUCUA